AUUUAUUCUCAACGACUCAUAUGUUGAAAUUAAAAAAAAACAGUAAACUACAUACGUAACGUUAGUGUUUAUGUUCUGCCUCAAUGCAAUGAACUCCGUAUUCUUCUUCUCAUAUAACUGCAGCAUGCGUGAAUGUUAAUUUACUAUUUACUACUAUAAUGGACCCAAUUUUAUUUUAAUCAAUUUUAUCGAUUUUCAGUACUCAAAGUACACCCGUUGUUCCUCAGAGGCAACUGUCUACGGGAUCUACAUCGCAGCCUCAGCAAACCAUAAGUAAUCCAUCACACCCACAGUUUGUCAUUGUAAAGUCAGGCAUUAACAUUCAACAACAAGUCAAGCCAAAUAUUGUUGUUAUGAAACCGCCCAGUUCCAAUAUUACACAAGCACUGACACCCACCAAUACACCGUACAUUAUUCAGGAGUCAGAAGAAAUUGACGACCUCUCCCAUUUAGAGUAAUAACUAUUCUGAAUCAUUUUUUAUGUAUACAUAAUUUCACAAAUUCAAAAAUACAUUUUUUGGUACAAGACAAAAUCCGAAUAUAUUUAAAGUAAACUUUAAUCAAUAUUGUUGAUAUUUGAAAGGAUGCAUAUUUGUUUUGACAAUUGGACUUCAUAUAUUUGCUAUAUAUUUGCUCGCAUCUAAUGUUCAUUUGCUACUACUUGGCGAUAUUAUUUCACUGAAUUUUUGCGCUGCAACCUUCUUUAACUGUUCGCUCUCCUGAGGACCAGUCGCAUCAACCAUUCCACGGAAAAUGCUCUCUUCAUUUUGUAACAAAUUAUGUGGAAUAUCGUACUCUUUGGCAAUGCCCGCAUCCAUAACUAAGACACGGUCGGAAUCCAUAAUGGUAUGUAAUCGAUGCGCUACAGUUAUAACGGUAAACUGUUUAAAUUUUUCGCGAAUUGUUUUCUGGAUGAGCGCAUCGGUUUGUGGGUCUACGUUGGCUGUGGCCUCGUCUAGCACCAAUACUUUAUUAUUUCUUAAAAUAGCUCGAGCCAAACAUAUCAAUUGCCGUUGGCCUUGGCUGAAAUUGGUUCCGCCUUCAGUUAC